rnacentral:lncRNA from 1 species
CCGUCGCCCCCAGCGCGUGCCCGCCCGGCGCCCUCUAGGGUGGAAGGCUGCGGGCGUCCUACCAGUGCCAGGACUGCCAGAGCGGGAGGAGCGCGGCGCGGGCCAGCCGGGACUGCUGGACAGCGGGGUCCAGGCUAGAGGCGAGCGAGCGGUCCACCUCCUAACAAAUUAUUGGAAGGAAUAUGAGAAAAAUGGAGUUUCACUCUUGUCACCCAGGCUGGAGUGCAAUAGAGCGAUCAUGGCUCACUGCAACCUCUGCCCCCCGGGUUCAAGCGAUUCUCCUGCCUCAGCCUCUCAAGUAGCUGGGAUUACAAGUGCCCACCACCACGCCCAGCUAAUUUUUGUAUUUUUAGUAAAGAUGGGGUUUCACCACAUUGGCCAGGCUGGUCUCUAACUCCUGACCUCACGUGAUUCAUCCAUCUCAGCCUCCCAAAGUGCUGGGAUUACAGGCAUGAGCCACUGUGCCUGGCCUAUACUUAUAUUUUCUUCUGUGAUUUUAAUAUUUUAGUGUUUAUGUUUUGGUCUAUGAUCCAUUUUGAGUAAAUUUUUAUAUUUGGUAUAAGGUAGGGGUCCAACUUUAUUUAUUUUUGAGAUGGAGGCUUACUCUAUUGCCCAGGCAGGCAUGCAAUGGUGCGAUCCAGCUCACUGCAACCUCUGUGUCCCAGGCUCAAGUGAUUCUCCCACCUCAGCCAUCUGAGUAGCUCGGAUUACAGGCCCCAUCACUAUGGUAAUUUUUAAAUUUUUAGUAGAGACGGGGUUUCACCAUGUUGGCCAGGCUGGUCUCGAACUCAUGACCUCAAGUGAUCUGCCCGCCUCUGCCCUACAAAGUGCUGGGAUUACAGGCGUGAGCCACCGUGCCUGGCCUCCAGCUUUAUUCUUUUUUUUUUUUUUUUUUUGAGACAGAGUCUUGUUCUGUCACCCAGGCUGGAGUGCUGGAGUGCAGUGGCGCGAUCUCGGCUCACUGCAAGCUCCGCCUCCUGGGUUCACGCCAUUCUCCUGCCUCAGCCUCCCGAGUAGCUGGGACUACAGGCGCCUGCCACCACGCCUGGCUAAUUUUUUGUAUUUUUAGUAGAGAUGGGGUUUCUCCAUGUUAGCCAGGAUGGUCUCGAUCUCCUGACCUCGUGGUCUGCCUGCCUCGGCCUCCCAAAAGUGCUGGGAUUACAGGCGUGAGCGACCAUGCCCGGCCAACUUUAUUCUUUUAGAUGUGGAUGUCUAGUUGUUCCAGAAGUAUCUGUUAAAAAUGUUACUCUUUCUCCAUUGGAUUAUUUUGGCAACCUUAUAAACAAUCAAUUGACCAUAAAUGUAUGGAUUUAUUUCUGGAUUGUCAGAUCUAUUCCAGUGAUCUAAAUGUCUGUCCUUAUGCCAGUACCAUAGAGUCUUGAUUACUAUAGCUUCAUGGUAAGUUUUCAAAUCAAGAAGUGUGAGUGCUCCAAAUUUGUUUUUAUUUUUCAAGAUUAUUUUGGCUGUUCUGGCUUCUUUGGAUUUUCAUAUGUAUUUUAGGGUCAGCCUUUCAGCUGGGCAUGGUGGCUCACGCUUGUAAUCCCAGCACUUUGGGAGGAGUUCAAGAUUAGCAUGACAAAAUCCCAUCUCUACAAAACAAAAAACAAAACAAAAGAAACAUUAGCCAGGCUUGGUGGCAUGUGCCUGUGGUCCCAGCUACUCAGGAAGCUGAGUAGCUUCCCGAGGCAGGAAGAUCACUUGAGACCAGGAGGUGGAGGUUUCAGUGAGCUGAGAUCGUGCCACUGUACUCCAGCCUGGGUAAUGGAGACAGACCCUGUCUGAAAACAAAAAAAUUUUUUAAAUAGGCUUUUGUUUUUUAUUUUAUUUAAUUUUUGACACAGGGUCCACUCUGUAGCUCAGGCUGGAGUGCAGUCGUGUGAUCUCAGCUCCCUGCAUCCUCCGCCUUUUGGGUUCAAGCAGUCCUCCCGUCUCAGCCUCCCGAGUAGCUGGGACUUACAGGCGUGUGUCACCACACCCAGCUAAUUUUUGUAUUUUUAGUAGAGGUGACCAUAUUGGCCAGGCUGGUCUUGAACUGACUUCAGGUGAUCUUCCUGCCUCAGCCUCCCAAACCCAAAGUGCUGGGAUUACAGGUGUGAGCCACUGUGCUCAGCCUGUUAAUUUUUUUUUUUUUUUUUUUUUUGAGACGGAGUCUCACUCUGUCACCUAGGUUGGAAUGCAGUGGUGCCAUCUUGGCCUCACUGCAACCUCCACCUCCCAGGUCCAAGGGAUUCUCCUGCCUCAGCCUCCCAAGUAGCUGGGGUUACAGGCACGUGCCACCAUGCCUGGCUAAUCUUUUGUAUUUUUAGUAGAGAUGGGGUUUCACCGUGUUAGCCAGGACGAUCUCGAUCUCCUGACCUCAUGAUCUGCCUGCCUCGGCCUCCCAAAGUGCUGGAAUUACAGGCAUGAGCCACUGACCCUGGCCCAGGAGUAUUGCUUUAACAAUAUAAGGUUUUCUGAUUUAUAAACAAGAAUGUCUUUCCAUUUAUUUAGGUCCUUAAUUUCUUCCAACAGUCUUUUCUAGUUUUCAAUGUACAAGUUUUUUGCGCUUCUGUUACAUUUAUUCCUGGCCGGGCACGGUGGCUCCGCCUGUAAUCCCAACACUUUGGGAGGCCAAGGCAGGCGGAUCACCUGAGGUCAGGAGUUUGAAACCAGACUGAACAACAUGCAGAAACCCCAUCUCUACUAAAAAUGCAAAAUUAGCUGGGCGUGGUGGUGCAUGCCUGUAAUUCCAGCUACUUGGGAGGCUGAGGCAAGAGAAUUGCUUGAACCCGGGUGGCAGAGGUUGAGGUGAGCUGAGAUCACGCCAUUGCACUCCAGCGUGGGUAACGAGUGAAACGUCUCAAAAAAAAAAUUAUUCCUAACAUUUUAUUCUUCCUUUUUUUUUUUUUGAGACAGAGUCUCGCUCUGUCACCAGGCUGGAGUGCAGUGGCAAGAUCUCGGUUCAAGCCAUUCUCCUGCCUCAGCCUCUUGUGUAGCUGCGACUACAGGUGCAUACCACCAUGCCCAGCUAAUUUUUGUAUUUUUAGUAGAGACAGGGUUUCAUCAUGUUGGCCAGGAUGGUCUCGAUGUCUUGACCUCGUGAUCUGCCUGCCUUGGCCUCCCAAAGUGCUGGGAUUACAGGCAUGAGCCACUGUGCCCGGCCAAUUUUUUUCUUUUUGAUGCCAGCCUUUGUCCUCUGUCUUUAAGUAGGAUGACCUCAUCAUGAACAUAAUACUGUCUGGAGAUGUUUCCUUGGUUGUAAAAUGAGAAGCCUAGGGAGAUUAUUUUUAUGCUUCCUUAGUUGUCCCCUUCCCCUCCACUUUUCAGUGUUUAGUCUGUAUUUUGAGUCUGCUUGAGUGUCCCUAUGACACAUCUGCUGGUUAAUUUGCAGCCACCAGUGGGGCUUCUCUGCUGUAAAGGAGAUAAAGGACAUGGAAAGGAAUGGCUUUGGAGUCCAACAGGCCAUUGUCCUGGUAAGCCUUUUACUGGCUAUGUGAUCUUGAGGACCUUAUUUCACCUGAGCUUGUUUUUCAUUUGUUGAGUGGGGCUGUUAUUGAGGAGUCAGUAAGCGAAGUGAAUGACAGCACCUGGGGCACUGCUAGCACACUGGACCCAUUUCAUAGAUUGAUGUGCUGUAACAGCCCAGGAGGGUCUCACUCGGCCACCCUAGCAGAAAUGCAGUGCCACAAUCAUGGCUUAUAGCAGCCUCGACCUCCUGGGCUCAAGCAAUUCUCCCCCCUCAGCCUCCCAAGUACCUGAGACUACAGGUGUGUGCCACCAUGUUUUUUUUUUUUUUUUUUAAUUAUUUUUUGUAGAGAUGAGGGUCUCACUCUGUUACCCAGGCUGGUCUCCCCACUCCUGGCCUCAAGUAAUCCUUCCUCCCUCAGUCUCCCACAGUGCUGGGAUUACAGGUGGAAACCUGCACCUGGCCUCUUCCUAACUUUUCAUUGUGAACAUCCAAAAAACUACAAACGUUGAAAUCAUCUUAUUAUAUUGCUGACUCUGGAUUAAUCCGUAUCUUCUACCUCCAUAACACUAUUUCUGAUCUGGGAAAGGGCAGCUUUUCCCCCCGCCCUUCUUUUUUUUUUUUUUUUUUUUUUUGAGACGGAGUUUUGCUUGUCUCCCAGGCUGGAGUGCAAGGGCGUGAUCUCGGCUCACUGUAAUCUCCGCCUCCUGGGUUCAAGCUAUUCUCCUGCCUCAGCCUCCUGAGUAGCUGGGAUUACCAGUGCCCGCCACCACGCCCAGCUGUUUUUUUUAGUAGAGAUGGGGUUUCUCCAUGUUAGCCAAGCUGGUAUCGAACUCCUGAACUCAGGUCAUCUACCCGCCUCAGCCUCCCAAAGUGCUAGGAUUACAGGUGUGGGCCACCGUGCCCGGGGCCUAGUUUUGUAUUUUUAGCAGAGACGGGGUUUCACCAUGUUGGCCAGGCUCGUCUUGAUCCACCCAUCUUGGCUUCCCAAAGUGUUGCGAUUACAGGUGUUAGUCACCGUGCCCAGCCUCCUUCCUAUUUAAUGACUUCUGCCCCUACUUCCUGCUUUCAUCAUUGCAGUAAGAAUGCACUGGUCUAACACUUCAACCCGGCUGUCUUUAGCCAGAGGCAGAGCUUUGAAACCUGGGAAUUUACUGCUUGGAAAUGGGAUGGAAUUCUAAACAUUUCCCUUUUGAGGGUUUAUUCACAUGAAUCCUGGGCCCCUAGUCUUAGGGAGCUGGAAGGCCGUAUUUCUGGAACAGGUGUUCACUACUUCCGUUUAUCGGGUCUCAGCCAAGUAGACCUGGAGCUGCUCCCUAGCAGAAUGUGGUGCACUCUUCUGGGCGCCGCCUCCUCUCCUCCUCUUCCUAUCUCUCCUCCAACAUCCAGCUUCCAUGCUACCCUUUCCAGAAACAUUUCCAAUUCCCAUCAGCUAGGUUUUCUUUCAUGGAUUCCCUCUUGCAUUCCUUGCAUAGAUCACUUGGUGCUUUGUACUUUGUCAUGCUGUCUUCUAGACCUUAAGCUGGUUAGGUUGAGGGCAGGGCUGCAUGCUGUUCAUGUGUGCUCUGCCUGGCCUGGCACAGAUGUAGCUGCUCCAUGGAUAUCUGCGGGGUCACUGAGCUGAAGCAGGUGGAUGCUGGAUGCUUGAUACUAGAUACAUUUUCUGGGGCUGGCUCUGAUUAAUGCUGAGUGAGUUCACCUCACAUUAAGAUGCUGGUAAGGUGGCUCAUGCCUGUAAUCCCAGCAAUUUGGGAGGCCAAGGUGGAGGAUCACUUGAGUCCAGGAGUUCGAGACCAGACUGGGUAACAUAGCAAGACCCUGUCUCUAUAAAAAUUUUAAAAAGUCAGCCAGGCAUGAUGGUACACACCUUUGAGUCCCAGCUACUAGGGAGGCUGAGGUAAGAGGACUGCUUCAGCCCAUGAGUUUGAGGCUACAGUGAACUACAAUUGUGCCACUGCAUUCCAGCCUGGGUGACGAGACUGUCUUAAAAAAAAAAGAUGCUGGUUGUUUUCAGACUAAAAUAGUAGCAACAGGUCAACGUAUCUGAAAUCCUUUAGCAGUCAUAUAUGGUUAGUGUAAAUCUCUGUGAUAAAAGAAAGAUCUGGAAUUGAUACCAAAGCAGCUCAGUACUUUUUAGUGUACUAACACAUUUGUUUUAACAACUUGUUCACAGCUACUGCAAUGUUCAGAUGGAGGAUCAAUAAUCUCUCCAUUCUUUGAGCAUCUAGCAUAUUACUGGACUCAUGUGUAAUCUCUCUCAGCCUUCUAGGUUUUAUUUCCACACAUUUUCCUUCCCUUCAACCCGAUUCCAACUGACUUCUUUGUAUUCAGUUAGCAAACAGGAGUGUUCCCCUAGCUUCAUCUUCUCUGUUUUUAAAAGACGGAGUCUUUGGAGUGCAGUGGUGAGAUCCUGGCUAACUGCAACCUCCACCAGGAUCUGAUUCUCCUGCCUCAGCCUCCCAAGUAGCUGGGACGGCAGGUGCCCACCACCACGCCCUGCUGAUUUUUAGUAGAGAUGGGGGUUUCACCAUAUUGGCCAGGCUGGUCUUGAACUCCUGACCUCGUGAUCUGCCUGCCUUGGCCUCCCAAAAUGUUGGGAUUAUAGGCGUGAGCCACCAUGCCUGGCAAGUCUUGUUUUUUCCAAGAAGUUACUUGGGACUUAGGCAGAUAUGAUCCGUCUUCUUAGGUCCUCCUUCUCAUCCCUGUAAGAUGAAGGUGAUUGGAAGACCAUGAGGUCAUCCUUAAGGGGUCCUGUAUCAAGGUGUUAAGUAGGUUAUCACUUCCACCUUGACUGUUAGCUGGUACCUGCAGUACUUUUUCCCAGAACUUUGGAUAAAUUCACCAAGAUCUACUUGUGAAUACAUUAUACGUAGUAGAUUAAAGAGGCUAUAAGCUAAUGCUUUCACUUUUUCCUCUGAAUCCUAAGCAUUAGGCACUUAAAACGGGUGUACUCCAAGACAAAGAUGUGUUAUCAAGUGAAACAAAGUCAGGGUGUCUGUCUCACACAGUUUAUUUAACAAUAGGUAAUAAGAAAUCAAAUUUAACAGUCUAUACAGUGAUCCAAAG